GGAGAGUAAAAAACUGUACUGUCUUUACUGCUUUUAAUCUUAUGCCUAGGAUAGAGCUCAGUGCUUAGUUAAAUGCAUGCCUUUGACCUCCUUUAAAAUCAUUUCUGUGCCUUAUUGAUUCCUCUGUGUUCUUUACCGCUCUCAACACACUGUCUGGUUUAUGCUAAGAGUUCAAAUUUAGAUUUUCUUGCUGUUUUAUUCGUUUGUUUGUUUGUUUGUAUAUCCACUCCUAUAUCAUCUGAUUCACUGGCCCUUUGAUUUGCUUGGAUAAUUGAGAAGUGAUUUGUACGAAAAACAUUUUUACAGCUCAACCCCACUGCAGGAGUUUAAUCAUCAUAAAAUAGAUAUAAUCACCAUUCUUUACUUUUCAUUAAUGUUACCUCAUUACUUACCUAGAAUCACUACAGAGAUUUUCAACCUCACUGCUCUUUCAUCACUACUCCUACCCAGGCCAAUUAAAUAAAUUUGUUUAGGGGUGAAGAUAGGGUAUGGAUAUGUUCUAAAAGACCUUCAGGUUACAACAACAUUCAGUCAAAAUUGAGAACAGUGGAUGUGUUACGGAUAUGAUACUGCUUUCAUUUAUUUAUUUUGCUUCUCUUUGGCUGGGUCCUGGGCUAUCAAAUCCUUGUGUUCACAUUGAAUUGAUCCUACAGCAAAUGCAGGGGUCAGCUUUUUUAGCAAAUAGCAAGGGGCACCCUUGAUGUAUGUUUGCAGCUUCAAGCCAGUCAUUCCGAGAUCCAGCUGUUUGUUUUAAUCAAAACAAACAGACUCAUUUAGUCAGUUAAGAUCCAUAAUCAAAGAACCCUGGCAAUGAGACAUAUGCAACCAGGACAGAAAAACUGGGACAGGACAUCUCAAUGAGGCAUAAAAUGACAAUCUCCAGUAAUCUGCAAAAUUUUUGUUCCACCCUGUUUGGAGGACAGAGAACAAGAGACCCCUAGAUGAUAUUAAGAGACAGAAUAUUAAUACUUGGAAAAAUGAGCAUUUCAUUUUGUACUCCCUUCCAUCCUAGAAAUAUUGGGCUGGGGUGGGCAAGGGAGCUCAAUGGUUUGGGCAGAUUCCUAUGGGAUUUCAGGGAAAUUUUCCACUUGAGAAUAUCAUGAAUAGUCAUGUAAAGCAUCCAUUCCAGAAUGUGAAUCGAUCCCUGUAACUUUUGCCCAUUCACAAUCUUUGUUCUAACCUUUGGUGGGUGAUGGACUUAGGUGCCUUGAUCGGAGGAAACCAGCUGGAAGCAUUAUCUUCCAUCUCUUCCUCUUCCACUUCUUUUUAUCUUCUCUUUCUCCUCCAGUUUAGCAAGUGUGAAAAUCCAAUUCUCUGCAACUGUAAGGAAAAUCUUGCCAUCCCUUCAGAACCUUCUCUCCAUCUUACCUACAGGCUUGACGAGGCAAAGAGGGAAUUGGCAGGUGGCAGUCCCAGUGUGAAGCCAGAUGGGGAUGUGUUAGAGCUGGGAUGGUUCCUCUUGGGGGCUCUGUCAAACACCCCACUUCUCCCUAAUGUCACUGCUUGAGAUUUUACAAUUUGAGCUUGUGGGUAUCCAUUCGUUUCAAGAGCAUCUUGCAUUUGUCCUCUGACCCUAUACCCUAUCUCUCGCUUAGACAUACCCAUAGAACAAACUGCCUCAAAAAUCUUUCCGAAAAAUAUCUGUAAAGGGAAAUUUCCCUACCUGCUACUAACUAUUGGGAGAAUUAAUAUAUGUGUUUUCUUUUUGUUGUUAUUGUUGUCUUUUUGCCAUUACUAGGGCCGCUCAGGCUAGGGGUCUAAUGGAAGCUGUAGCCUCUGGCCUACACCACAGCCACAGCAACGUGGGAUCCGAGCCGAAUCUACACCACAGCUCAUGGCAAUGCUGGAUCCUUAACCCACUUGAGCAAGGCUGGGGAUCGAACCCGCAACCUGGCUGAUCCUAGUCGGAUUGUUAACCACUGAGCCACCACGGGAACACCAACAUAAGUCUUUUAUAUCAGAAGAAGUUUUGGCUACUCCAUUUGGUUCCUGCUUUAUCUGAGGCACAUUCCUCCACCUACUUCUUUUCCUCUUCUCCCAGUAACAAUUCAUUUCAAAUUAGUCAAUCUAGAAGAAUGUGCAUCCUGACCUGACCGAUGGGAAGGGACAGAUGUACUGCCUGUGUUAGGGAUAAAUGGGGGGGGGGGAUCCUUCCUUCCUCAUGCGCCUUUUGAGCACUUGCGCCCUUCUGCAGAAGUAAAGAGCCUUGUUGAGACCUCCUUGUGUUUGUGUGUCUUACUUUCCAACACUGACAAUCCAAGCCAGAGUCACUUUUCCCCAACACUAUUUUCCUGAAGCUGAGAAUGAGCCCCAGAUGGCCUUUUUUAUGUUAACAAAAAGGCAGGGCAGUUUCCAAUACCCGAAGCCAGUCCUCCCUUUCUCCUUCCAGGUACCAUUAGAGGAACCCUCGCCUUCUAACCAUUCUCCAGGGCUCUUUCUCACCCUCCUCUGAAAACCCCAAAGAAGGAAAGGCUUCACUUCAGUCAUACACUUAUAAGUUACCUUGUUACUCCCACCAGCAGGAGCCUUAGCAAAUGGUGGCAUAACAGGCCUUGAGAAGGUAAUUGUGUCCAGAUAAAAUCUUCAAGGCUUGAGAUACUCCCUGGGGCCCUGGAGUCCCCAUCCUGACUCCUGCAGUGUGUGAAAUUGUUCUGUUGUUGCGUCCUGCUUCCCUCACCCCCAGAGCAGCCACUGGGGUAAGCAAGCUGAUAGACAUUUCUCUAUGAAUUGAGUAAGGUUAUACUCUGUGAAUACCUACUCUGAUGAUAGGAAAGUGCAAUAUUUCAGUUUGUUUUGCCUUUUUUUUUUUGGUUUACAUUGUGUUCAAAUGUCAGUUAUUGCUGCAUAUCUUGCCAGUUGCCUAGGCACUAACUUCCUAAAGCCAUACCUAUGAUGUAUGCAGUAAUCACGUCCUCCAAAGGGUGAGGGCUGAGGAAAAUUUGAUGUUAGAAAAGAAACAGACAAAUAAACAAGAAAUCAUCUUCAUGAGAGUUAUGAGGUUUUCUAAAUUCUCUAUCUAUCUAUCUAUACAUAUAUAUUUGUCUUUUUAGAGCUGCACCCACGUCAUAUGCAAGUUUCCAGCCUAGGGGUCCAAUCGGAGCUGUAGCUCUCGGCCUACGCCAGAGCCACAGCCACGCCAGAUCCAAGCCGCGUCUGUGACCUACACCACAGCUCACGGCAAUGCCGGAUCCUUAACCCAUGAGCGAGGUCAGGGAUCGAACCCACGUCCUCAUGGAUGCUAGUCAGGUUUGUUAACCACUGAGCCACAAUGAGAACUCCAAAACUAUGUAUAUUUGAAUCCAAGUGUUUUCUAAUCCUCUUUUAAAGAUUAUGAAAAAGCACCCUUCCUCCCUCCCUCAUUUCCUUCCUUCCAUCCUUCCUCCUUUCUUUCUUCCCUCUGUCUCUUUCUCCCUCCCUCUUUUCCCUCUUUCUUUGCUUCCUUCCAUAAACUGUGUUAUAAUUACAGUAUGUUAGGCACUUUGAUAGAAAACACAUGUCAAUUUUAGAGUCCAGGAUGCUUCAUAGGUCUUGAUGGUUUUGAGUUCUCUUUUCUUCAAAGAAAUAAAAAUCUGUUGGUUUAUUUCACCAAAGUCUCUCUGUGUGCACUUGUGUAUUUUUGUGUGAAUAUACAUGUAUAAAGACAUAUGUGCUUGUACAUGUAUAUGUACUUAUAUGUAUAAUAAAUAGCACGUGAAAGUAUGUAUAUGUAUGUAUCUAUGUAUGCAUAUACAUGUAUAUAUAGUUUUCCUAUUAAAAAUAAUUCACUCUUAUUAUAGAAACAAGAGUAAGAGACAAGACAAAAUCACCCAUGACUCUACCCUACACAGCUAAAAUGUUUUAUAUUCCCUUCUGGCAUUCAUUUAUUCUUUUUCAUUAAUGGUAUAGGUAGAAUAUUUAAUUUCAGGUCUUUUUCAGUCAAGUGUCCAGUCUCAGACUGAGGUACAAGAAUGGGAUUAGAACCUCCUUCUGCAGCCCCGGUUUGACCAUGCACUUCCCAGGACGUAAAUCUCUCUGCAGGUGCCGCCCCUUGAGAAGAGAUGAUUCCCCCCUUUUAAUAUCAAUAUUAAAUUUAUAGUAUUUAUAUAAAAGGGGAAAAGCUUGCACUCUAUGUCUCAGGUACUUUUCAGCAUAGAAAGGAUGUAAGGGCCCACUAUUAAAAACCGAAGGGAGGAGCUCCCGUCGUGGCUCAGUGGCUCUGACUAGUAUUCAUGAUGAUGCAGAUUUGAUCCCUGGACUCACUCAGUGGGUCGAGGAUCUGGCUUUGCUGUGAGCUGUGGUGUAGGCCAGUGGCUACAGCUCCUAUUUGACCCCUAGCCUGGGAACACCCAUAUGCUGUGAGUGUGGCCCUAAAAAGAAAAAAAAAAAAAAAGACAAAUAAUAAUAAUAAUAAUAUCCUUUGAGAAGGACUUUUUUUUUCAUCUUUUUAGGGCCGCAACCACAGCACAUGGAGGUUCCCAGGCUAGGGGUCCAAUCAGAGCUGCAGUCGCCAGCCACAGCCACAGCCACAGAAAUGCGGGAUCUGAGCCGCAGUCUGUUACCUGCACCACAGCUCAUGGCAACACCAGAUCCUUAACCCACUGAGUGAGGCCAGGGACCGAACCCACGUCCUCUUGGAUGCUAGCUGGGUUCACUACCUGCUGAGCCACGACGGGAACUCCUGAGUUAGGACUUUUUCUCUCAUUAUGAGCUGGCAAUCAUUUUUGCCCCAUUUUGGCUCAAUAGCAUCAUUUUUUUUUUUUCCCUCUCUGCAUUGUACCAGGUCACAACAUAGAGGAAAUGGAGAACCAGAGUGGACUUCAGUAAAUUCCAGGACCCUCUGACUUCUCUGUUUCAUUGUACAAAUGGGAUUAGCUGUGUUCCUUCCCUGUAACUCUUGGUGAGCCACUUUUUCUCCCAGCCAUUUGAUGGCAGUGAGGGUAGGUCUAAAUAUCAUGUACCAGCUUCCUGGUUCCUCGAGGUCCAGUUUCCUCUCAAAGCUUUCCUUCUUUGGCUGGCUUCUGGUAUUUUCUUAUAUGCCUCCUAAGUUUCCAUCCUCCGACACUGUUGGUUGACUAUCCCUAAGGCCAACUUUAUGGACAUGCAACUAGUACAAUCACCCAGGGCCCUACUCAGAAGGGCCUCGUGCUUGGGUUUAAUGCUCUGCAGUCACCAUCUUGAAAUUCUUCAUAAUUUUCUCUUUGAAUAUGUGCUUUGAACUGAAAUAGCUUGGACAAUGGAAGAUGCACCAGGACAUAGAGCUUUGGCCCCUGCAUUCCUGCCUCUGUAUCUCCCUGGGUUGGGUUCUCACCUAUUUGCUCUCUUUGUCUUGGUUCUCCUGGCCUGGUGAUGCCUGCCACUCUUUGCUCUCCAAGUUGAGGGUGGGACAAGUCCACCAUCUUGGUCAUAGCAACACCAGAUCCACGCCACAUCUGCGACCUAUACCACAGCUCACGGCAACACUGGAUCCUUAACCCACUGAGCAAGGCCAGGGAUGGAACCCGCAAUCUCACGGUUCCUAGUCGGAUUCGUUUCGGCUGUGCCACGAUGGGAACUCCAGUUUUGUUUUUUAAUUUGAAUAAUUGGCAGUCUUACCUUAAAAGCAGCAGCAAACAACACCUGGAAAAGAUGAAAAUACAAACUCCUCAAGUAAAUAUGUCAAUCAAGUUUCUUAUACCUUCUCUUCUCUUGUUUAUAUACGCCAAAUGUAAGUGUAAACCAAAAUGUUUGACAUUUCUGAUGCCAAAUCUCUAACGCCUAAAAAGAAACUGUAAGAAAAUAGAAUCCAAUACUUAAAAUAACUUGGAGACCUACACAUAGAAGUUCUCUCUCAUUGGAUUUUGUGUGUAUGUGGAGAAUGUUGAUUGAAAGGGAAUAGGCGAUAGUUACAUAUAUGACCUGUUAUGUUAUUUCUCUUUUUAAAACUCUUUACCUGUUUUUCUCACCCUAUUAAAUGUGAUAUCACUGAAGGCAGAAAUAAUAUCUUAUUCAUUUUUGAAAACCCCAGGGCCCAGGAGAACUCUGCACAUAGAAAGUACCCAGUAAGGAUUUGUUGGCUAAAUGAAAAAAAGAAUGGAUAAACGAGUGAAUAAAUGAAAUAGCACAGAAAUGGACACAUAUUACAUUUAUUGUUUGUACCUUAUGAUUUAGCAUUUUAUUUCACGAUGACAUUUUCUAGAACUAACUUAUAGGUCUUACAACUAAUUUGCAAGUUCUUUGGGUGAUAAGGAAAUUUGAUACUCUUUCUGUAACAUUCACUCCAAACCACUUAUGUUCUUAUUAUAUAUUAAAUGUCUGGGGCAUGCCAUGCCAGUUUCCUGUUGCAUAGAAGCUUUUAUUAAAGAGCUGAUAAUUCUAUACUUACUAGUUUCACCAGUAAGAGGAUCCAGCAUGCUACCUUGCCCAUUUGUUUAAUAGAUUCUUUACUUAGCACCUGCUUUACGUAAGGUACUGCUCUAGAUUCUGGAGAUAAAAUGAUGAGCUAAACAUAAAAGGUCCCAAUUCUCAAUAAAAAUAUAACCUAGUAGGGACUAAUGGUCAAUAGAUAAAGAAACAAAUAAAGAGAACAAAUUCAGAUCAUUUGGCUUCUCGUCUCUGACUGAUGUAAUGACAAGAUUAGGUAUAUGACCCAGAUAAGUGGGCGACUUGAAGGAGUAGUGGAGGAGUAAAACUCUGGAAGCAAGUAAGUAAAAGGACUGAAGAGAUAAGGAGAACAUUUAAGGAAAAGUUGACUGUAUUGGAGAGUUUGCCGGUGAAAAACUGUGGGAGUUCCUGUUGUGGCUCAGCAGUUAACUAGUAUCCAUGAGGACGUGGGUUCUAUUCCUGGCCUUGCUCAGUGGGUUAAGGAUCUGGCAUUGCCGUGAGCUGUGGUGUAGGUUGCAGACAUAGCUCAGAUCUGGCAUUGCUGUGGCUGUGGUGUAGGCUGGCAGCCACAGCACCAAUUUAACCCCUAGCCUGGGAGCCUCUAUAUGCUGCCGGUGCAGCCCUAAAAAAAAAAAAA
ensembl:lncRNA